CCUACGGGAGGCAGCAGUGAGGAAUAUUGGUCAAUGGCCGAGAGGCUGAACCAGCCAAGUCGCGUGAGGGAAGACGGCUCUACGGUUUGUAAACCUCUUUCGUCGGGGAGCAAAGAGAGUCACGUGUGACUCAUUGAGACUACCCGAAGAAAAAGCAUCGGCUAACUCCGUGCCAGCAGCCGCGGUAAUACUGAGGAUGCGGGCGUUGUCCGGAUCUAUUGGGUGUAACGGGUGCGCAGGUGGAGGUGCAAGUCAGCGGUCAAAUUGCGGGGCUCAACCCCGUACUGCCGUUGAAACUGCAUCCCUUGAGUGCGCGAGAGGUAUGCGGAAUGCGUGGUGUAGCGGUGAAAUGCAUAGAUAUCACGAAGAACUCCGGUUGCGAAGGCAGCAUACCGGCGCGCAACUGACGCUGAUGCACGAAAGCGUGGGUAUCGAACAGGAUUAGAUACCCUGGUAGUC
rnacentral:rRNA from 1 species